UCCCUGGUGGCUCAGAGGUUAAAGCAUCUGCCUGCAACGCGGGAGACCCGGGUUCGAUCCCUGGGUCGGGAA
rfam:Ovis aries breed Texel unplaced genomic scaffold TnplacedScaffold_004083840.1, whole genome shotgun sequence.